UUGAACGCUGGCGGCAUGCCUUACACAUGCAAGUCGAACGGUAGAGGGGCAACCCUUGAGAGUGGCGAACGGGUGAGUAAUAUAUCGGAACGUGCCCAGCCGUGGGGGAUAACGCAGCGAAAGCUGCGCUAAUACCGCAUACGAUCUAUGGAUGAAAGCGGGGGAUCGCAAGACCUCGCGCGAUUGGAGCGGCCGAUAUCAGAUUAGGUAGUUGGUGGGGUAAAAGCCCACCAAGCCGACGAUCUGUAGCUG
rnacentral:rRNA from 1 species